UGUGGAGUGACAAAGUGUUUAUUUAUAUAACUUUCUUCUCCCUCACACACACACACACACACACACACACACACACACACACACACACACACACACACUCAUCUUCAGUUACAGUUGGUGCUCAGUGUCGAGUAAUAAUCAUCUUCAUCAUAAUCAUAAUAUAAGCAAUAGUUGUCUUCAAAUAUAGAGCAAUACAUGAUUUAUACAAAAUACCCUGCAUAUUACUGUCAAGUUUAUUUGAGGAGAGCAGUGAGAAGGGACUGUUGUUCUCUGUGGUCACCACCAGAGGACGCUGCAGCUCUAAAGUUAUUACCUGACCUGUGGAGGGUUGAGAUCAGGGGUCCGUUUCACGUAGCAGGUUUAGUGGAAACUCCGAGUUUGUUAACCCUGAAAACAGGGAAACUCUGAGUUUUCCGUUUCACAAAGGAGGGUUAGUUAAACCAGGGAGAGAGGGGUAACUCUAACCUGUUUCACAAAGAGAGGUAACUCAACCUCGCGGUCAGUUACCACAGUAACAGACUCCGUGAACCUAACCUGCUCGGGAGCAGGUUUAACUCAGUAAACCCAGAGUUUCAGGUGAAACAUCGGCAUUUUAUCAUUUUGAUCAAGGUUUAUAUUGUCAAGUAAGUAUUAGGUGGCAGUUUGAUCCCUUAAAAAAUGCUCUUUUCACACUCAAAACUGAAUUUUACUCUCUUGUGAUGUUCCGUUAAAUGAUUAGAAAUAUUAAACUAACACAAAAAACGGGUGGUAGUCCAGCAGCCCCACCUUUAACGGAGGCAGAGGAGCUGCCCUCCACCCCCCCGUUCGACGAUCGCGGCCGGUCCGAUCCCUCUCCUUUGCAGCUGCUGCUGUAUUGCACUUCCUUUUACAAACGUGCUGUAAUUCGCUGUUGGCUUGCUGCUGCCCCCUCCUUCUCCCUAUUUCCAUUGGUUGAUCAUUAAAUCUGCGCUCCACAGAUGCUGGCUGUUUAUGUCUGGCGUGCACGUGCUUAACUCCAGGUCAAACUACUCGGAGUUGUUAAAACCGUCUCAAAUCAGGUGUUGUGAAACCGGAAACUCAGAGUUUCCUAACUCAGAGUAGAUCAACUCAGAGUUAAGGAUUUAACUCAGAGUUUGUUGAACCACCUACGUGAAACCACCUACCCCUGGGGGUCCGUUUCACGUAGGUGGUUCAACAAACUCUGAGUUAAAUCCUUAACUCUGAGUUUACGAUCGGACCGGCCGCGAUCGUCGAACGGGGGGGAGCUCCUCUGCCUCCGUUAAAGGUGGGGCUGCUGGACCACCACCCGUUUUUUGUGUUAGUUUAAUAUUCCUAAUCAUUUAACGGAACAUCACAAGAGAGUAAAAUUCAGUUUUGAGUGUGAAAAGAGCAUUUUUUAAGGGAUCAAACUGCCACUUAAUACUUACUUGACAAUAUAAACCUUGAUCAAAAUGAUAAAAUGCCGAUGUCUCACCUGAAACUCUGGGUUUACUGAGUUAAACCUGCUCCCGAGCAGGUUAGGUUCACGGAGUCUGUUACUGUGGUAACUGACCGCGAGGUUGAGUUACCUCUCUUUGUGAAACAGGUUAGAGUUACCCCUCUCUCCCUGGUUUAACUAACCCUCCUUUGUGAAACGGAAAACUCAGAGUUUCCCUGAUUUCAGGGUUAACAAACUCGGAGUUUCCAUUAAACCUGCUACGUGAAACGGACCCCAGGAGUUUUAGAGACGAAUAUAAACUUUCUCUGUUAAAACAUCAUGUGAGGUUGAAGCUCAAAGUAAAAUUUUUGAUAAAAGUUCGUAAAUUAUUAACGUUUUAUUCCACAGAAUAAUUAAACUGUAAUAAAAUCCACCAACAUUGGAUGACUUCAUUAUUAGUUAAUCUCAGCAUUAAUUUCUGUACUUUAAAUUUCUGGAAUUUAGAGUUCAGGGAGUUUCUUUUUAUCUGAACAACAGUCCAAAGAGUUUCAGCUCACAGAAAAAAAAAAAAAAAAGAAAACAUGUUGGCGAUAACAAUAAUCAUAAAGUCUUCAUAUAUAUAUAUUUACAGUGUGUGUUCAGUCAAUGCCACGGCAUCCUUUGGGUGUUAGUUCCUGAAAUGUUUUUGGAUACAGUCGGGGGAAUAUUUGGCUGAACAUGAACCACAAACCUGCAAACUUACGGCUCAGGACAAAGUCUGAAAUUCACCCAUUUAUUCGGGUUUCUUAAAAUCAUUUUCAGGUCCAUAAAAAAAAAAAAAAAAAAAAAAAAAAAAACAGUGCUGCUGUGAUGUUUGUCUUUGCUGAGCCCUCCCUCUCUUCCCUCUGAAUGACACAGAAAAUCUUUAAUAUGUAUGUUUAAAAUACUCAACAAUCCAUUUCAACUCCUAAAGGUUUGAUUUGUUCAACUUCUCUGGAAGAAAUCGGAGAAAAUAAUCGUCUUAUAAUAGGACAAAAGUUUGAAGAAAGACUCAAAACUUUCGUCUUCAUAAAAAUCUUUACAUGAAUGUGAUUUAGAAAUGUCUCAGUGUUCUUAAAAGCCAGUCAAAGGACAUUUUAGUUUCUUUUUCUCUGAUAAUAAAAAUACAAAUAAGUAAAUUUUAGAUAUCUUCUAAUGAAAAUGAAAACGCAUCAAAUUCAGAUUUAUUUGUGUUUAUCUCUCUAAAAAGCCUUUUUUUUUAACCUCCUAGAUAAACCUUAUUUCACAUAUUUUUUAAGUUUAUUUUUCAUCUUUUUCCUCAAAAUUAUGACGGGGAACCAGUGCCACUUUAUAGAGACACUGAGAUUUCAAGAUCGCACCGUCAUUGUUUUCUUCCGCUUCAUCCCAGUCCGGGUCGCAGGGGCAGCAGCUUCGGGAGGGAAGCCCAGAUGGCCCUCACCCCAGCCACUUCCACCAGCUCCUCCUCCGGGGGGAUUCCCAGGCACUCCCAGGUCAGGCGAGAGAUAUAAUCCCUCCACCUGGUCCUGGGCCGGCCACAAGGUCUCCUCCCGGUGGGACAUGUUUGGAACACCUCUAACCGGAGGCGUCCAGAAGGCAUCCUAACCAGAUGCCCGAGCCACCUCAGCUGACUCCUCUCAACGUGGAGGAGCAGCGGUUCUACUCUGAGCGCCUCCCGAGUGUCCGAGCUUCUUACCCUAUCUCCAAGGCUGAGCCCGGCCUCCCUACGAAGGAAACCCAUUUCGGCCGCUUGUAUCCACAAUCCUGUUCUUUCGGUCAUUACCCAAAGUUCAUGACCAUAGGUGAGGAUCGGCACGUAGAUCGACCGGUAAAUAGAGUGUUGCCUUAUGGCUCAGCUCUUUCUUCACCAUGACUGAUCGGAUAAGUGUCUGCAUCACUGCUGACACCACUUUGAUCCGCCUGUCAAUCUCCCGUUCCAUCCUACCCUCACUUGUGAAAAAGAUCCCGAGAUACUUGAACUCCUCCACUUGAGGUAGGACCUCCCCUCCGACCCGGAGAAAGCAAUCUACCUUUUUCCGAUUGAGGACCGUGGCCUCGGAUUUGUAGGUGCUGAUUCGCAUCCCAGCCGCGAAGAGCUGAAGGUCACUGCUCGACAAAGCUAGAAGUACCACAUCAUCUGCAAAAAGCAGCGACGCGAUCUUCUGCCUGCCGAACUGGACACCCUCCACCCCCCGGCUGCGCCUACAAAUUCUGUCCAUAAAGGUUAUGAAACGAACCGGUGACAAAGGGCAGCCCUGGCGGAGUCCAAAUCUCACUGGAAAUGAGUCCGACUUACAGCCGGACCAAGCUUGUGCUCCUUUGGUAAAGGGAUUGGACGGCCCUUAAUUAGGAACCCUCUACCCCAUGCUCCCCGAGCACCCCCCACAGGAUUCCCCUAGGGACACGGUUGUAAGCCUUCUCCAAGUCCACAAAACACAUGUGGACCAGUUAGGUAAACUCCCAUCUCCCCUCAAGAACCCGAGCAAGGGUGAAGAGUUGAUCUGUGGUUUCGCGAUCGGGACGAAAACCGCAUUGUUCCUCCUCAAUCCAAGGUUCAACUAUCGAUCGGACCCUCUUUUCAAGAUCAAAAUUAUAAAUCUGCCUGAGUGAACUUUAGAAAUCAUGAGAUCGUAAAUUUAAGAAAAGAAACAGCCUGAGGAUAUUGUUGUACAGAAAUAUUUGUCUAAGUGGAUCUGAUUCUGUCCUCAGAACUAAAUAAUAAAACUCAUUAUGUUCUGAAUCUUAUCAUCCUUUAAGUUAUUAUUUUUAUUAUAAAUCUUUAAAGUUCAUCCUGCUUCGGUUUCCCUCUGCUGUCGGGAUUUCUUUGUCUUGUGAACACAGCUUGUUUUUGCAGCAGUUUGCAGGUUUGUCACACAGAUGAGGUUUUAGACAAACAGUCCUAAAUAUGAGUGCAAAGGCAUGCAGCACCACCCGCCUCCAUCUCCCAGUGCAGCGUCAUCAACGGAUAAAAACUGAGAAGAAAAAGAAGAAGAAAUAGGAUAUAACAAAAAAAACCAAAAAAAACGCCGACCUCGUCUCUGUCAGUGUCCAUGCUCAGGAUGUUGAUAAAGUUUUAACAUGGAUCCAAACUGUGAUGGAGUCACACCUGAAGUCAUCCUGCUGCUGACGGGCACAGGGUUACGACGUAGAGGAAGACGGUUGCCAUGACAACCUCUGUGUUUCUAUAAAAUAUGGUGCAUUCAUGCUGAUGGAGACGGCGUGUGAGUGCAGUGAGAUCUCUGCAGGAUUAAAGGUCCCGUACUCAGACUCAGGGUGCUGUUUGCAGGGGCGUGGCCAGGGAUGGUUCUCAAGUUUGACUGGCUGCCUGUUCUGACACUUAAAUCAAUCUCACUCAAUCAGACUAAGGUUUGGGGUUUUAAGUGGGGACUCCUCGCGGGGACUCUGGUGACCCUCAGGGUAAAUGACGCUUCAAACUUCAGUCUGACUUUGAUUGGAUGUCACAACGGUGACUCUGCCUAUUAGGAAGCAAUCAUUUUAUUAUAUUAUAUUUAUUAUUGGGUUAUAAAAACGCUGAAGGCGAUGCUGCUGACUUAUAAAAACAUAAAGUCCUAACGUGUCUAUUAGGGGUAGGAGAAAAUUCGAUUCAGUAUUAUAAUUUUUUGUUUUACAAUUUUUAAAUCGACCGAUCUACAUGUGGUGUGUAUUUUUGGGGAAAUAUGGUUCCUGUAAUAGUCAGUAGACAUAAUCAUUCAACUGUUUCACUGGUGUUAAAAAUGCAGACUAAAAAAAAGAGAAAAUCAACAAUAUCAUAGAAUCGAGAUUUAAAUCCAAUCAGCAUCCAAAAAAUCGUACAAUAAUCUAAUAGGGAGAAAUGCAUAUUGUCCCAGGCUUUGAGUCGAUGUCCCUGUUUCUCAUCAUGCUCACAAAAAAGGACAAAGUGAAAUAGAAACAUGCUAAAACAGAGAUCGAUAUAAACCUUUAAAUGAGUCUGUAAAGACGGUGUCAUCUGCAUAUGAUUUGAUGGUUUUGGAGGUUUGAGAAGCAGCUCCAGUUUCCUUGUCUGACAUUAAAGCUUCACUCAGUGUGUAUUGGAGUAAUCUCCAAUUUUCACCGCAUCCAGAACGGCAGCAAUUUUUCGCCGUCCACUAAUUUCUACUGGAUCUGUUUGGGAGACAAAUUUCAUGGCGGAUUACGGACAGCAGGAACUCACAAGAACCCGAGGAGUCAUGUUCAAUCGCACAAUAACGAGUUGUCUCUAUAAAGACAGACACAUAGACAUAUAAGCAGUAGAUUGUGUCCUUCCAGAGGUGGAUAUCUACUUCUAGACUUUUAGAAUCAGCAUCUCCUCAUCCAUGGUGUCAUCGGGGUGUCCGCCUCCAAUCUGCUUUUUUCCGACUUGGUAACUGAAACGCUGGGAACUUGGGUGUGAUGUCAUUUUCAGCUCGGACUUCUGUCUUCCAAGGUAACUCGAAUGCAGAAUAAGGGAGGGGUCACAUCUACACAGGAAGUGAUGUCACUGAUGCAUAUUUACAUGAAAGGUCAUUGCCGAAUUUCCCAUUUUGGACUUUUAUUUGUAAGGCAGAGCUGAAAGUUGAAUAAUUUCAGGUUAGGAACAACAAACAAGAUACCCAGGACAUGGACUCUGAUGAUCCCCAGACCAUCGGCAAUGCUGGAUCUGGACUGGGAGCUGAGAACAAGCUGGGAGGACCUUUAGCCCCAAUUUUAACCGCAUCUGGAAUGGCUCCGAUCCGGAACGGUGGAGAUCUUUGCCAUUCCUACCGGAUCCGUUGGUGAGGCUAAUUUACGGACAGUAGUAAUCCUGAUAACUCACAAGAACCCAAGGAUUCACAUUCGAUCCGCAGAGGAACGGAAAGAAGCCAGGGGGAAAUUGACAUGUUUACUUGAAUGGUUACGAUCAGCUAGGAUUAGAAGAUUCGACCUUUUAGUAGGUGUUCUGGAUGCAGUGAAAAGUGGGGGUAAACAUUUAGAUGUGAACUGUCAGGCUGUGGCAGCAACAGAUCUGAAUACGGGACCUUCAAGUGCAGCUCGGACACAUUAUUGGUGAGUUUUUCACACGCCUGCCUGUGCUGAGUGUUAGUGCUGCAUUCGUGUUCAUCACAUGAACUAGAUUACAAUAAUCUGAUCCGAACAGUAUGGCUACUGUCAAUGUGCUUGACAGGGAGGAUGGAGUGAGGACAGAGGAGAAAAGGAGUGAAGACAGAGGAGAAAAGGAGGGAGGACAGAGGAGAAAACUCCUGGACUCAACGAAGACACUUUCUCGUUUCUCCUCCUGUCGCCAUUCAGUCACCUCACCUCCUCCGUCUUCUCCUCUGCAGCCUCCUGUGUUUGUUUGACAUCUUUUGAACCCUCCUCUUUGUCUGUCAGGCCCUUCAGAGGUCAGAUGACCUCUGUGUUUGCUGGUAGUGUCUCCUCUCU